rnacentral:rRNA from 1 species
AUUGAACGCUGGCGGCAUGCCUUACACAUGCAAGUCGAACGGCAGCAUGGGUGCUUGCACCUGAUGGCGAGUGGCGAACGGGUGAGUAAUGCAUCGGAACGUACCCGGAAGUGGGGGAUAACGUAGCGAAAGUUACGCUAAUACCGCAUAUUCUGUGAGCAGGAAAGCGGGGGAUCGCAAGACCUCGCGCUUCCGGAGCGGCCGAUGUCGGAUUAGCUAGUUGGCGGGGUAAAGGCCCACCAAGGCAACGAUCCGUAGCGGGUCUGAGAGGAUGAUCCGCCACACUGGGACUGAGACACGGCCCAGACUCCUACGGGAGGCAGCAGUGGGGAAUUUUGGACAAUGGGGGCAACCCUGAUCCAGCCAUGCCGCGUGAGUGAAGAAGGCCUUCGGGUUGUAAGCUCUUUCGGCUGGGAAGAAAUCGCAUCUCCUAAUACGGGGUGUGGAUGACGGUACCAGCAUAAGAAGCACCGGCUAACUACGUGCC